CCCAGCUGUAGGACACGUGCAGUGGUUGAUGUCAGUUUGCAGGAGCUGCCGUGGUCCAGCCGGGCUCGCCUGGGGCUUUCCGAGCCCUGCACAGCCCCUGAGGGACAGUCCCUGAGGUGGAUUUCUGUGCAGGCUCCUUGGCAGGCUGGGAUCAGGGCUGUGUGCCCUGUGGCUGUUCAGGGGGAGCAGUGCUUUUUGGGGUUUGCAGGUUGGGAUCAGGGCUGUGUGCCCUGUGGCUGUGCAGGGGGAGCAGUGCUUUUUGGGGUUUGCAGGUUGGGAUCAGGGCUGUGUGCCCUGUGGCUGUGCAGGGGGAGCAGUGCUUUUUGGGGUUUGCAGGUUGGGAUCAGGGCUGUGUGCCCUGUGGCUGUGCAGGGGGAGCAGUGCUUUUUGGGGUUUGCAGGUUGGGAUCAGGGCUGUGUGCCCUGUGGCUGUGCAGGGGGAGCAGUGCUUUUUGGGGUUUGCAGGUUGGGAUCAGGGCUGUGUGCCCUGUGGCUGUGCAGGGGGAGCAGUGCUUUUUGGGGUUUGCAGGUUGGGAUCAGGGCUGUGUGCCCUGUGGCUGUGCAGGGGGAGCAGUGCUUUUUGGGGUUUGCAGGUUGGGAUCAGGGCUGUGUGCCCUGUGGCUGUGCAGGGGGAGCAGUGCUUUUUGGGGUUUGCAGGUUGGGAUCAGGGCUGUGUGCCCUGUGGCUGUGCAGGGGGAGCAGUGCUUUUUGGGGUUUGCAGGUUGGGAUCAGGGCUGUGUGCCCUGUGGCUGUGCAGGGGGAGCAGUGCUGUUUGGGGUUUGCAGGUUGGGAUCAGGGCUGUGUGCCCUGUGGCUGUGCAGGGGGAGCAGUGCUGUUUGGGGUUUGCAGGUUGGGAUCAGGGCUCUGUGGCUGUGCAGGGGGAGCAGUGCUGUUUGGGGUUUGCAGGUUGGGAUCAGGGCUCUGUGGCUGUGCAGGGGGAGCAGUGCUGUUUGGGGUUUGCAGGUUGGGAUCAGGGCUCUGUGGCUGUGCAGGGGGAGCAGUGCUGUUUGGGGUUUGCAGGUUGGGAUCAGGGCUCUGUGGCUGUGCAGGGGGAGCAGUGCUGUUUGGGGUUUGCAGGUUGGGAUCAGGGCUCUGUGGCUGUGCAGGGGGAGCAGUGCUGUUUGGGGUUUGCAGGUUGGGAUCAGGGCUCUGUGGCUGUGCAGGGGGAGCAGUGCUUUUUGGGGUUUGCAGGUUGGGAUCAGGGCUGUGUGGCUGUGCAGGGGCAGCAGUGCUGUUUGGGGUUUGCAGGCUGGGAUCAGGGCUCUGUGGCUGUGCAGGGGGAGCAGUGCUGUUUGGGGUGGCAGGUUGGGAUCAGGGCUCUGUGCCUCUGGCCCCACAGCCAGCAGUGCUGUUUGGGGUGUGCAGCCCUGCUCCUCCAGCCUUCCCUCGCUCCGCUGGCUUUUCCUGCCUGUGUCACUUCCUUCCCUUGGCUCACACGCACCAGUGACACAGGGGGAGGGAGCAGGGCUCAGCCUGCAGGUUGGGAUCGGCUCAAUUCGCAGAUCCCAGUCUUUACCUUGUGAAUGAGAAGAGGGACCCUGAAUGUAUCCCACAAGGAUAAGCCUCCUAGAGCUCUCUGAUUUUUCCUCUCCCUUUACAGAUCAGGUCAUUUGUGAUUUCCUAAAGCUUGCACACAGCAGCAUCCCGGUACCACUAAAACUGCCCAGAGCAAAGGACUCAAAAUGAAAAUCUUUGCAAGACUUUGUUGAGACCUUUAACAUAGGCACAAUUUGUCUAAAGUUUCCUCAUUGCCCCUGCAUCUGCCAACCACUCGCCCAGACCAGCUUUGCUGUUGUGGUG
rnacentral:lncRNA from 1 species